CUCUGGUGUGAAGGAGGACAUCGUCACCAAACUGGACAAACGAGAGAUCAAGACCAACUACGUGAAUCCCAUCUACAUGAUCAUUGUCAUCAUCGCUGUUGUUCUCCUUCUUGUAACCAUCGUCUGUGUGGCUGGAUUCUGCCUGUAUAAGAAGAGAAAUGCCAAACGCCCUCCAUCCCCGGUAAACGACCCGGCUGUGCAACAAAUGAUGCUUCCAAAUCAAAAUACCUAAAAGACAAAGAGAGGACCCUGAACCCAGUUUACGGGUACGUUCUGCACUGAAACAAGGAGCAGACCGACACGCUCUCCUCAGAAUUCAUUGGCUCUCAUCGUAUCAGACAUGAAGUGAUCAGAGUUGGGAAUUUAAAUUUAAAUCUUUGAAAUACAAAGAAAACAAGUUUGAAAAAGAGUUGACAAAUGCUUUACAAAUCUUCUUUAGGGUUGUUUGGUGACGUUAGUUUCAAAUGUAAAAAGCUUUUCCGCUGAUAAAAGACGCUUAAAUAAAUUUAAAUGAAAACUUGAUGAUUUAUUUUUUGUCACCUGGAGAGAAGAGAAUCAGAAGAUGAAUCUAUGACGGCAUCACGCCGCUCUUCAUGUGUUGAAGAAAGAUUUGUGUGUUGAUCUAAAAUCCAUCAUAGUUGGAUUUUUCUACUUCUGGUGUUCAGAGCUUUGUGCUAAAACAAAUGUUGGUGAUAAAUACGUUAAUAAAGACACACACACACACACACACACACACACACACACACACACACACACACACACACACACACACACACACACACACACACACACACACACACACACACACCUCAGAUAAACCUCCCCAGUAACUGAUCCAUACUCAUAGUGUCUGACAUCAUGAUGAUGUGUGGCUGUAAAAUACAGAAACAUCAACCAGAGGAUGUUUUAUUGAAGAUUGUGAGAAAGCCCUGCUGUUGGUCUCUUGUUGUGUUCGACCACUCGGAGAAAAGAAACACAAUUGAGCGUUGAGAAUUUGGCCCCCUGAGCGUCUUUAAGUGUCGAUGAAGAUGUUUUUCUUUUUAUUAUCUAAUGAUGAACUGAGCUCCAGUUUUCUCAUGAUUUAUUUGAUACAGCUUUUUGUCAAAGUACUCCAUCUUUAAAGUAUAACUAAAUCCAACAUGUAGAAAACAUAGCAGUAACAUACACCAUGAUAUGUUGUAUCAGUGAUGUCAGGCCCUAUGCACACACACACACACACACACACACACACACACACA